rnacentral:rRNA from 1 species
GGGUUAAGUCCCGCAACGAGCGCAACCCUUGUCCUUAGUUGCUACGCAAGAGCACUCUAAGGAGACUGCCGGCGACAAACCGGAGGAAGGUGGGGAUGACGUCAAGUCCUCAUGGCCCUUAUGGGUAGGGCUUCACACGUCAUACAAUGGUCGGAACAGAGGGUUGCCAACCCGCGAGGGGGAGCUAAUCCCAGAAAACCGAUCGUAGUCCGGAUUGCACUCUGCAACUCGAGUGCAUGAAGCUGGAAUCGCUAGUAAUCGCGGAUCAGCAUGCCGCGGUGAAUACGUUCCCGGGUCUUGUACACACCGCCCGUCACACCAUGGGAGUGGGUUUUACCAGAAGUGGCUAGUCUAACCGCAAGGAGGACGGUCACCACGGUAGGAUUCAUGACUGGGGUGAAGUCGUAACAAGGUAGCCGUAUCGGAAGGUGCGGCUGGAUCACCUCCUUU